CCUUUCAGAGUUGAGGGGAUGUAAAUGCAGAUCUUGCUUGUGAAAGAGCUGAAUUGUGAAUUUCAAUUAUUUGCAAGGACUAUGACUUCCAUAUUUGGAUAUACUCAGCAUCUACCAUGAUAUCUGACACAUAGUGUUAAUAAAUAAAUAUUAAUAAAUAAAACUGGUCAAAUUGCAAAGUUUUUGUACCAUGAACAUGUUAAUUAUUCAUAUUAAUAAAUUUAGCCUUUCAAAAUACCUUAAUAAUAUUCAUUAAUUUAUUUAUAAGGAUCUGGAUGUAGAAAAAAAAAUUUUCUGUGUGUGUGUAUAGUAACAAAAUACCAAUAGUUUUAUUGAGGUAAAACAUGAUAAACUUGGAAUCUGCUAUGAUUUGAAUGUCCCCUCCAAAACUCAUGUUGAAAUUUAAUUGCCAGUAUGAUGGUAUUUGGAGGUGGGGUCUUUAAAAAGUGAUUAAGUCAUGAGGGCUUCACCCUCAUGAAUAGACUAAUGUUACCACAAGAGUGGGUUGGUUAUCAUAUGGCAGGGUAGUUAUAAAAGUGAGGCCAGCCCCUGAUGUUCUGCUCUCUUGCAUAUGCUUGCUCUCCCUUCUGCUCUUUUGCCACGGGAUAUUGCAGCAUGAAAGCUCUCACCAGAUAUAAGCACCGUGCUUUUGGAAUUCUCAGCCCCCAAAAUGUGCUAUAAUAAAACCAUGGUGCUGAUUUAUGAUGAACGUGGAGAUGUACCACCUAGAUUUCUCUUCAAGGAAGGACUUGUUUCCUCUGCUGAUGGAAUUCCUGUCAACAGAGACCUUUCAGGUGCCAGUGACUUGGAGAAGGCCUGAGCUGUAGAGCAACAUCACCUAAGGUCACGCCCUACGUGAGUCAGCAGAAUCCACUGACUGAUGGAGAUUAUAAAGACUUAGCCAUUUUGUCUCAAUGAGGUGUACCUACAAUGGGUCAUAUGAGCUCCACAGCUCCCUGUGGAGUCAGCUCAGACUGUUGUUGACUUACAUUGUACCUCAACUUCUCUCUCUGCCAAAUCUAGCUCCCUUUACCUCACAAUCAUAGGCGUUCAUCCCAAAGACAUCCCUUAAUAUAAAUAAUGCACAAUAUACUCUAUAUGUUAAUCUGUUCCACAUUAAUUUUUUUAUGUAAAUCUGUGUGUGUGUGUGUGUGUGUGUGUGUGUGUGUGUGUGUGUGUGUGGCAGAAAAGCAUAAAAAUCAUCCCUCUAAACUUUUAUUUAUAUAACUGGUCUCCAA
rnacentral:lncRNA from 1 species